rnacentral:misc_RNA from 1 species
AUGAGUUGUGAUAGGGUUUGAUGCUGGCAGCCAAUUUUCGGAUGCAUGUGCUUGCCCUAACAAUCAUCUUCCAAACACCUGUGCACAUUUUUGAGGGAGUUUUGAGUUGAUUGCCACUUUGGGGCGAUUUGCUUGGUAUUCCCUUAAAUCAUUAUACGCUAUUAACAAUACUGAACGUGUACUGUGCCGCAAGGCCAUUAAUAUAAAUA